rnacentral:rRNA from 1 species
AUUGAACGCUGGCGGCAGGCCUAACACAUGCAAGUCGAACGAGUGGCGGACGGGUGAGUAAUGUCUGGGAAACUGCCCGUUGGAGGGGGAUAACUCCUGGAAAAGGUAGCUAAGACAGCAUAUACUCGGAUGUGCGCAGAUGGGGUUAGCUAGUAGGUGGGGAAACGGCUCCCCCAGGGGACGCUCCCUAGCUGGUAUGAGAGGAUGACACGCCACACUGGAACUGAGACACGGUCCAGACCCCUACGGGAGGAAGCAGUGGGGAAUAUUGCACAAUGGGCGCAAGCCUGAUGCAGCCAUGCCGCGUGUAUGAAGAAGGCCUUCGGGUUGUAAAGUACUUUCAGCGAGGAGGCGUUACUCGCAGAAGAAGCACCGGCUAACUCCGUGCCAGAGCCGCGGUAAUAC